rnacentral:rRNA from 1 species
UACGUAGGUGACCAGCGUUGUCCGGAUUUACUGGGCGUAAAGAGCGCGCAGGCGGUCGUUCAAGUCGAGUGUGAAAGCCCCCGGCUCAACUGGGGAGGGUCACUUGAUACUGAUCGACUCGAAGGCAGGAGAGGGAAGCGGAAUUCCCGGUGUAGUGGUGAAAUGCGUAGAUAUCGGGAGGAACACCAGUGGCGAAGGCGGCUCACUGGCCCGGUACUGACGCUGAGGUGCGAAAGCGUGGGGAGCAAACAGG